rnacentral:rRNA from 1 species
GUCUAUAGCCAUGCAACCCUGAACAUGCCCGAUCUUGUCUGAUCACAGAACCUAAGCAGGGUCAGGCUUGGUUAAUACUUAGAUGGGAGACACCCUAGGAAGACCAUGUGCUGUAGGCG